rnacentral:rRNA from 1 species
AUUGAACGCUGGCGGCAUGCCUUACACAUGCAAGUCGAACGGCAGCACGGGAGCAAUCCUGGUGGCGAGUGGCGAACGGGUGAGUAAUAUAUCGGAACGUGCCCAGUCGUGGGGGAUAACGCAGCGAAAGCUGUGCUAAUACCGCAUACGAUCUACGGAUGAAAGCGGGGGAUCGCAAGACCUCGCGCGAUUGGAGCGGCCGAUAUCAGAUUAGCUAGUUGGUGGGGUAAAGGCCCACCAAGGCGACGAUCUGUAGCUGGUCUGAGAGGACGACCAGCCACACUGGAACUGAGACACGGUCCAGGCUCCUACGGGAGGCAGCAGUGGGGAAUUUUGGACAAUGGGCGCAAGCCUGAUCCAGCAAUGCCGCGUGCAGGAUGAAGGCCUUCGGGUUGUAAACUGCUUUUGUACGGAACGAAACGGCUCCUUCUAAUACAAGGGGCUAAUGACGGUACCGUAAGAAUAAGCACCGGCUAACUACGUGCCAGCCGCCGCCGUAAAAC